GCCUGGGUGGCUUAGUGGGUUAAGUGCCUGGCUUCUGCUCAGGUCAUGAUCCCAGGGUCCCGGGCU
rnacentral:tRNA from 1 species